rnacentral:rRNA from 1 species
AGUCGAAGGUAAAGGAAAAAGCUUGCUUUUUUGCUGACGAGUGGCGCACGGGUGCGUAACGCGUAUACAAUCUACCUUUUACAGGGGGAUAGCCUUUAGAAAUGAAGAUUAAUACCCCAUAGUAAGUAAUUUUCGCAUGGAAGAUACUUUAAAGUUUCGGCGGUAAAAGAUGAGUAUGCGUUCUAUUAGCUAGAUGGUGUGGUAACGGCACACCAUGGCGACGAUAGAUAGGGGCCCUGAGAGGGGGAUCCCCCACACUGGUACUGAGACACGGACCAGACUCCUACGGGAGGCAGCAGUGAGGAAUAUUGGACAAUGGGCGAGAGCCUGAUCCAGCCAUGCCGCGUGCAGGAAGACUGCCCUAUGGGUUGUAAACUGCUUUUAUACGGGAAGAAACCCACCUACGUGUAGGUGGCUGACGGUACCGUAAGAAUAAGGAUCGGCUAACUCCGUGCCAGCAGCCGCGGUAAUACGGAGGAUCCAAGCGUUAUCCGGAAUCAUUGGGUUUAAAGGGUCCGUAGGUGGAUAAUUAAGUCAGAGGUGAAAUCCUGCAGCUCAACUGUAGAAUUGCCUUUGAUACUGGUUAUCUUGAAUUAUUGUGAAGUGGUUAGAAUAUGUAGUGUAGCGGUGAAAUGCAUAGAUAUUACAUAGAAUACCAAUUGCGAAGGCAGAUCACUAACAAUAUAUUGACACUGAUGGACGAAAGCGUGGGGAGCGAACAGGAUUAGAUACCCUGGUAGUCCACGCCGUAAACGAUGGUCACUAGCUGUUCGAACUUCGGUUUGAGUGGCUAAGCGAAAGUGAUAAGUGACCCACCUGGGGAGUACG